UGUUACGAACAAGACGCAUUGUAAGUGAAGAUGACAAAUUUGAAGAGAGAGCAGAAGAAAUGAUGACCCACUUUGAGAGUAGAGGCUAUGGGACAGAUAUGUUGGAAACAGCCAGGGAGAAAGUAAAAGAUGGACCAGAGGUUAAAACCAUGGGUGGCGGAACCUCCAAUGAUGGCCUAUAAAAGAUCAAGCAACCUGAGGGACCAUCUGGUCCAUGCGUUAAUUGAACCACAAAAGAAGCAAGAUCAUAUAAGAAAUGAGUGAUGGAUUAUCCAUUGAAUUUUUGUGUCCUCCUAUUAACCUCACCAAAGGUUUUUUUUAAAAAAAAACGAAAAAACGAGGAAAUAUGUUAAUGAGCACUGUCACUUUAAAUAUAUUGCACUGACCACGGGUCUGUUUUUAUAUUGUUUAAUAUUAGAUUGCACAAUAUGGACUGUUUUAUAAUAUUGAUUGUCACUAUAAUGAACUAAUGAAAGAUGAUUGGUUACUAUAUGUAUUUUUAUGAACAAAUCUUUUUACAUGAAUUCCCUACAUAUGAUUGGACACAUUGAGACACAUGAUUAUAAGCACAUACUAACUUUAGAGGUCAUAUGACCCAGGUCAUCGAUUAUACACAUUGGACACAUUGAGACACAUGAUUAUAA